rnacentral:rRNA from 1 species
ACUACGUGUGGCAGCAGUGAGGAAUAUUGGUCAAUGGGCGCGAGCCUGAACCAGCCAAGUAGCGUGAAGGAUGACUGCCCUACGGGUUGUAAACUUCUUUUAUAAAGGAAUAAAGUGAGGCACGUGUGCCUUUUUGUAUGUACUUUAUGAAUACGGAUCGGCUAACUACUUGCCAGGAGCCGCGGUACUACGGAGGCUCCGAGCGUUAUCCGGAUUUAUUGGGUUUAAAGGGAGCGUAGAUGGGUUGUUAAGUCAGUUGUGAAAGUUUGCGGGUCAACCGUAAAAUUGCAAUGGAUACUGGAAGUCUUGAGUACAGUUGAGGUAGGCGGAAUUCGUGGUGUAGCGGUGAAAUGCUUAGAUAUCACGAAGAACUCCGAUUGCGAAGGCAGCUUUCUAAACUGCCACUGACAUUGAUGCUCGAAAGUGUGGGUAUCAAACAGGAUUAGAUACCCCGGUAGUC